UUAAGCGACUAAGCGUACACGGUGGAUGCCCUGGCAGUCAGAGGCGAUGAAGGACGUGCUAAUCUGCGAAAAGCGUCGGUAAGGUGAUAUGAACCGUUACAGCCGGCGAUGUCCGAAUGGGGAAACCCAGUGUGAUUCGUCACACUAUCGUUAACUGAAUACAUAGGUUAACGAGGCGAACCGGGGGAACUGAAACAUCUAAGUACCCCGAGGAAAAGAAAUCAACCGAGAUUCCCCCAGUAGCGGCGCGCGAACGGGGAGCAGCCCAGAGUCUGAAUCAGCUUGUGUGUUAGUGGAACGGUCUGGAAAGUCCGACGGUACAGGGUGAUAGUCCCGUACACCAAAAUGCACAGGCUGUGAACUCGAAGAGUAGGGCGGGACACGUGGUAUCCUGUCUGAAUAUGGGGGGACCAUCCUCCAAGGCUAAAUACUCCUGACUGACCGAUAGUGAACCAGUACCGUGAGGGAAAGGCGAAAAGAACCCCGGCGAGGGGAGUGAAAAAGAACCUGAAACCGUGUACGUACAAGCAGUGGGAGCACCUUCGGGUGUGACUGCGUACCUUUUGUAUAAUGGGUCAGCGACUUAUAUUCUGUAGCAAGGUUAACCGUAUAGGGGAGCCGCAGGGAAACCGAGUCUUAACUGGGCGUUAAGUUGCAGGGUAUAGACCCGAAACCCGGUGAUCUAGCCAUGGGCAGGUUGAAGGUUGGGUAACACUAACUGGAGGACCGAACCGACUAAUGUUGAAAAAUUAGCGGAUGACUUGUGGCUGGGGGUGAAAGGCCAAUCAAACCGGGAGAUAGCUGGUUCUCCCCGAAAGCUAUUUAGGUAGCGCCUCGUGAAUUCAUCUUCGGGGGUAGAGCACUGUUUCGGCUAGGGGGUCAUCCCGACUUACCAACCCGAUGCAAACUACGAAUACCGAAGAAUGUUAUCACGGGAGACACACGGCGGGUGCUAACGUCCGUCGUGAAGAGGGAAACAACCCAGACCGCCAGCUAAGGUCCCAAAGUCACAGUUAAGUGGGAAACGAUGUGGGAAGGCACAGACAGCCAGGAUGUUGGCUUAGAAGCAGCCAUCAUUUAAAGAAAGCGUAAUAGCUCACUGGUCGAGUCGGCCUGCGCGGAAGAUGUAACGGGGCUAAACUGUGCACCGAAGCUGCGGCAGCGACACUAUGUGUUGUUGGGUAGGGGAGCGUUCUGUAAGCCUGCGAAGGUGGCCUGUGAGGGUUGCUGGAGGUAUCAGAAGUGCGAAUGCUGACAUAAGUAACGAUAAUGCGGGUGAAAAGCCCGCACGCCGGAAGACCAAGGGUUCCUGUCCAACGUUAAUCGGGGCAGGGUGAGUCGACCCCUAAGGCGAGGCCGAAAGGCGUAGUCGAUGGGAAACAGGUUAAUAUUCCUGUACUUGGUGUUACUGCGAAGGGGGGACGGAGAAGGCUAUGUUAGCCGGGCGACGGUUGUCCCGGUUUAAGCAUGUAGGCGGAGGUUCCAGGUAAAUCCGGUACCUUUUUAACGCUGAGGUGUGAUGACGAGGCACUACGGUGCUGAAGUAACAAAUGCCCUGCUUCCAGGAAAAGCCUCUAAGCAUCAGGUAACAUUAAAUCGUACCCCAAACCGACACAGGUGGUCAGGUAGAGAAUACCAAGGCGCUUGAGAGAACUCGGGUGAAGGAACUAGGCAAAAUGGUGCCGUAACUUCGGGAGAAGGCACGCUGAUAUGUAGGUGAAGCCCCUGCGGGUGGAGCUGAAAUCAGUCGAAGAUACCAGCUGGCUGCAACUGUUUAUUAAAAACACAGCACUGUGCAAACACGAAAGUGGACGUAUACGGUGUGACGCCUGCCCGGUGCCGGAAGGUUAAUUGAUGGGGUUAUCCGUAAGGAGAAGCUCUUGAUCGAAGCCCCGGUAAACGGCGGCCGUAACUAUAACGGUCCUAAGGUAGCGAAAUUCCUUGUCGGGUAAGUUCCGACCUGCACGAAUGGCGUAAUGAUGGCCAGGCUGUCUCCACCCGAGACUCAGUGAAAUUGAACUCGCUGUGAAGAUGCAGUGUACCCGCGGCAAGACGGAAAGACCCCGUGAACCUUUACUAUAGCUUGACACUGAACAUUGAGCCUUGAUGUGUAGGAUAGGUGGGAGGCUUUGAAGCGUGGACGCCAGUCUGCGUGGAGCCAACCUUGAAAUACCACCCUUUAAUGUUUGAUGUUCUAACGUUGGCCCCUUAUCGGGGUUGCGGACAGUGUCUGGUGGGUAGUUUGACUGGGGCGGUCUCCUCCCAAAGAGUAACGGAGGAGCACGAAGGUUAGCUAAUCCUGGUCGGACAUCAGGAGGUUAGUGCAAUGGCAUAAGCUAGCUUGACUGCGAGCGUGACGGCGCGAGCAGGUGCGAAAGCAGGUCAUAGUGAUCCGGUGGUUCUGAAUGGAAGGGCCAUCGCUCAACGGAUAAAAGGUACUCCGGGGAUAACAGGCUGAUACCGCCCAAGAGUUCAUAUCGACGGCGGUGUUUGGCACCUCGAUGUCGGCUCAUCACAUCCUGGGGCUGAAGUAGGUCCCAAGGGUAUGGCUGUUCGCCAUUUAAAGUGGUACGCGAGCUGGGUUUAGAACGUCGUGAGACAGUUCGGUCCCUAUCUGCCGUGGGCGCUGGAGAAUUGAGGGGGGCUGCUCCUAGUACGAGAGGACCGGAGUGGACGCAUCACUGGUGUUCGGGUUGUCAUGCCAAUGGCAUUGCCCGGUAGCUAAAUGCGGAAGAGAUAAGUGCUGAAAGCAUCUAAGCACGAAACUUGCCCCGAGAUGAGUUCUCCCUGAGACUUUAAGUCUCCUGAAGGAACGUUAAAGACGAUGACGUUGAUAGGUCGGGUGUGUAAGCGUAGCGAUACGUUGAGCUAACCGAUACUAAUGAACCGUGAGGCUUAACCUU
rnacentral:rRNA from 1 species